rnacentral:rRNA from 1 species
UACGAGGGGGGCGAGCGUUGUUCGGAAUUAUUGGGCGUAAAGGGCGCGUAGGCGGCCUGUCGCGUCUGCUGUGAAAUCCCGGGGCUCAACCCCGGGCCUGCAGUGGAUACGGGCUGGCUGGAGGCAGGCAGGGGAGAACGGAAUUCCUGGUGUAGCGGUGAAAUGCGCAGAUAUCAGGAGGAACACCGGUGGCGAAGGCGGUUCUCUGGGCCUGUUCUGACGCUGAGGAGCGAAAGCGUGGGGAGCGAACAGG